rnacentral:rRNA from 1 species
GAGACCUUUUAUUUGAUGCUUGCAUCUUUUAAAAAGUUGAGUGCGCUAACGGGUGAGUAACACGUGGGUAACCUGCCUUAAAGUGGGGGAUAACACUUGGAAACAGGUGCUAAUACCGCAUAACCAUCAAAACCGCCUGGUUUUGAUGUUAAAGAUGGUUCUGCUAUCGCUUUAAGAUGGACCCGCGGCGUAUUAGCUAGUUGGUGAGGUAAUGGCUUACCAAGGCAAUGAUACGUAGCCGAACUGAGAGGUUGAUCGGCCACAUUGGGACUGAGACACGGCCCAAACUCCUACGGGAGGCAGCAGUAGGGAAUCUUCCACAAUGGACGAAAGUCUGAUGGAGCAACGCCGCGUGAGUGAAGAAGGUUUUCGGAUCGUAAAACUCUGUUGUCAGAGAAGAACGUGUGUGAGAGUAACUGUUCACGCAGUGACGGUAUCUGACCAGAAAGUCACGGCUAACUACGUGCCAGCAGCCACGGUAAUACGUAGGUGGCAAGCGUUGUCCGGAUUUAUUGGGCGUAAAGGGAACGCAGGCGGUCUUUUAAGUCUGAUGUGAAAGCCUUCGGCUUAACCGAAGUCGGGCAUUGGAAACUGGGAGACUUGAGUGCAGAAGAGGAGAGUGGAACUCCAUGUGUAGCGGUGAAAUGCGUAGAUAUAUGGAAGAACACCAGUGGCGAAAGCGGCUCUCUGGUCUGUAACUGACGCUGAGGUUCGAAAGCGUGGGUAGCAAACAGGAUUAGAUACCCUGGUAGUCCACGCCGUAAACGAUGAAUGCUAAAUGUUGGAGGGUUUCCGCCCUUCAGUGC